CGGUUGCUUCGGGUGUGGUAAAACUCAACAGAAGAAGAACAGGGCGGAAGUUAGCGACACCUCAGAAGGAUACAGUGUUUUUUUUAGUAGAAACAUCCCCAACAAAAUCUGUAAAACCAUUCAAAGGGGCCAGAAUUCCAACCGACUGGGGAAGAAAACAUUCAACAUGCUGAGAGAAUUGAUAAGAGAGCGACUAUUGGCGGCUGCUGAUGAAAUAUUCGGACUGGUUGAAAGAACAAUGGCGUCGUACGAGGAGGAACUUUCUCGAACAAGAGAGGAGAAAGAGCGACAACGACGACAACUGGAAGCUGUUAGCAAGACUCAGACUGUGCUAGAAGACGUCCAGCAGCUGAUUGGUCGUCAAGAGGAACGUCACCCUCAGCAGCAGGGGGAGACCUCUGCUUUGAAGCCUGAGAAUCCACAGCCCCAGCACAUUAAAGAGGAAGAGGAGGAACUCUGGAUUACCCAGAAGGGAGAGUGUCGUCGAAGGCAGAAGGAAGCUGAUCCCACCAAGUUGCCACUGACUGUUGUUUCUGUGAAAACUGAAGACGAUGACGAGAAACCAAAAGCACACAACCUCUUAGCUCCACUAUCAGAUAGUGAUGACACGUCACACUCUGAUGAGGAUAAAGACAGGGACUACACCCUUUUGAGCGGUGCUGCAGACUUUGAAGGUGAAAUGAGGACCCACACUGACAACAAACAUUCUGAAUGCUCUGAAAAGGAGACAGCCUGGAAGAGAGGUCGUUCUGAAAUGUGGGAACACUUCAAUCUGAUCGCUUUAGAUAAGGUCCGGUGCAUGGUGUGUUCAGCUGAGCUAAAGUAUCACGGAAGUACUUCCACCAUGAUUCGGCACUUCGCCGCCAAACACGGACCUGCCAAAAACAGGGCGGUGGCGAAUCAAGUUGACCGAAAGCGAGAGCUGGACGAGGCUCUGGUCAAUAUGAUGGCGAAUGAUUCGCGGCCUUUCUCCAUCGUGGACGACAGCGGUUUCAAGGAGUUUGUGGCGUUGCUUGAUCCUACGUACAAGCUGCCGUCCAGAGGGGCUCUCCAGGACAUCUCAUCUGAAAGCACGAGGAGUAAAAAAAGACCAAAACUGUGAGCCUUACUGCGGACACGUGGACUCCCAGCAACUCAUACAGCAGAUGUCCAGCAAGUUAAAGAGGAAGAGGAGGGACUCUGGACCGCUGAGAAGGGAGAGUGUCUUUUAGGGCCAGAAGAGGCUGAUGUGACUGUCGUCUCUGUGAAGACUGAAGACGAUGACGAGGAACCAAAAGCGAACCACGUCUCAGCUUCACUAACAUAUAAUGUCCAGCACCCCCCACAAGUUAAAGAGGAAGAGGAGGGAGAGUGUCUUUUAGGGCCAGAAGAGGCCGAUGUGACCGUUGUCUCUGUGAAGACUGAAGAUGACGACGAGGAACCAAAAGCAAACGAGGAUGAAGACAGGAAAGACACCCAAGAAGCUUUGAGCAGCGAUACAGACUGCGAAGAUGAUAUGAGGACUCACACUGACAACAAACACUCAGAAUGCUCUGAAAAGAAGAUGCGUAAAGAAGGGUUUACCUGCUCAGUUUGUGCGAAGAGAUUUUCUUUCCAGAGUCAUUUGAAAGAACACAUGCGAACACAUACCGGAGAAAAACCUUUCAGAUGCUUGGUUUGCGCUAAAAGAUUUUCCCACCAUUCAACUAUGGUGUCCCACAAGAGAACGCACACAGGAGAAAAACCUUUUCAAUGCUCGGUUUGUGGCGAAAGCUUUUCUCGAAAAAGCAAUAUGACGCAACACAUGCGAAUGCACAUGAGAGAAAAACCUUUUAGUUGCACAGUUUGUGGCAAAGAGUUCACUCAAAAGGCCCACAUGCUAUCACACAUGAGAACGCACACGGGGGAAAAACCUUUCAGUUGUUCAGAUUGCGGUAAAACAUUCGCUUAUAAGGCAAAUAUGCUGGCGCACACGAGAACCCACACAGGAGAAAAACCUUUUAUUUGCUCAAUCUGUGGCGAAAGUUUUGUCCAAAAAGUAUCUUUGAUUGCACACAGAAGAACACACACGGGAGAAAAACCCUUUAAAUGCACAGUUUGUGGUAAAAGUUAUUCCUACAAGAGGACAUUAACAGCACAUGUGAGGACACACAAUGGAGAUUAAACAGUUCCCUGUCCAGAAUUGUUAACACCCGACAUGUUUUAUGUCUGAUAUGAUGACCAUGAUACCUGUUAAGUGAAUGAAUCGCAUAUUUAUUCAACAGCCAUACAUGUCACACUAAGAGUGGCCGUAUAAACCACCCCAACACUGUCAUAGAUAUGUGCCAUAUAGUAAAACCAAAUUAUACAAUAAUGACAAACACAUUUUGGGAGAAUAUUUGCACCGCAACACAACAUAAACACAACAGAACCAAUUCCCAGAAUUCCCUGCAGCACCAACUCUUCCGGGACGCGAGUUUAGAAACCCUAGCGAUUGGCUGAGGAACAAGGGUGUGGAGAUGUCCCCAUUCCCUGUAGAAGAGAUCAAAUUUGGUAUUUUUUAUAAACGACUGUAACAUAGAAAUGUUUGUCAACAUUAUUAUGCUCCAGGCAAUUUUUUUUCUACAUAAAUGUCAUUUAUGAAAGUAAGGCCUACAUUUUCUAAUUGGCAUAAUGGUUUACAAUUAUCAAUCAUAUCUUGGAGGACGAUUAAGAGUACAAAAGCCCUUAAAUUGAUAUCUUUGUUAAAAACAUAUUUAAAGUGAUUUAGGCAGCCCUUUUUUUUUCUUUUUCUUUUUUUAAAUAUUUUUUUGUAUUAUUACUCUAUUUGUAUUUGUUUUCUUUCCUUGAUGUUGAAAGUGCCUUGACUUUUGUGUGAAUUAUAAAUGUAUGUUUGUUGUUCAAGAAAAAAAUUAAAACUUUGAACUCAUGAAAAAAAGAAAUGGCUUCUGGGACUCUACAGUAUUUCUAAAACAUGUUUACAAUUAUCAAUCAAAUCUUGGAGGAUGAUUAAGAGUACAAAAUCCCUUAAAUUGAUAUCUUUGUUAAAAACAUUUAAAGUAAUUUUGGUAGACCUUUUUGUCUUUUUUUAUCC